rnacentral:rRNA from 1 species
GGAAUAUUGGACAAUGGGCGCAAGCCUGAUCCAGCCAUGCCGCGUGAGUGAUGAAGGCCCUAGGGUUGUAAAGCUCUUUCACCGGUGAAGAUAAUGACGGUAACCGGAGAAGAAGCCCCGGCUAACUUCGUGCCAGCAGCCGCGGUAAUACGAAGGGGGCUAGCGUUGUUCGGAUUUACUGGGCGUAAAGCGCGCGUAGGCGGGUCGUUAAGUCGGGGGUGAAAUCCCGAGGCUCAACCUCGGAACUGCCUUCGAUACUGGCGACCUAGAGUCCGGGAGAGGUGUAUGGAACUCCUAGUGUAGAGGUGGAAUUCGUAGAUAUUAGGAAGGACACCGGUGGCGAAGGCGAUACACUGGCCCGGUACUGACGCUGAGGCGCGAAAGCGUGGGGAGCAA